rnacentral:rRNA from 1 species
CAGUCGCCGCGGUAAGACAGAGGAUGCAAGCGUUAUCCGGAAUGAUUGGGCGUAAAGCGUCUGUAGGUGGCUUUUCAAGUCCGCCGUCAAAUCCCAGGGCUCAACCCCGGAACUGCAUCCGAUACUGCCAUGCUAGAGGAUUGGAGAGGUAGCUGGAAUUCUUGGUGUAGCAGUGAAAUGCGUGGAGAUCAAGAGGAACACUCGUGGCGAAAGCGAGCUACUGGACAAUAACUGACGCUGAGGCUCGAAGGCCAGGGUAGCGAAAGGGAUUAGAUACCCCUGUAGUCCCUGUCUCUUAUAC